rnacentral:rRNA from 1 species
GUAGGUGGGCAAGCGUUGUCCGGAAUUAUUGGGCGUAAAGCGCGCGCGGGCGGGUUCUUUAAGUCUGAUGUGAAAGCCCACGGGCUCAACCGUGGAGGGUCAUUGGAAACUGGAGAACUUGAGUACAGAAGAGGAAAGCGGAAUUCCACGUGUAGCGGUGAAAUGCGUAGAGAUGUGGAGGAACACCAGUGGCGAAGGCGGCUUUCUGGUCUGUAACUGACGCUGAGGCGCGAAAGCGUGGGGAGCAAACAGGAUUAGAUACCCUGGUAGUCCACGCCGUAAACGAUGAGUGCUAAGUGUUAGGGGGUUUCCGCCCCUUAGUGCUGCAGCUAACGCAUUAAGCACUCCGCCUGGGGAGUACGGCCGCAAGGCUG